GACAAUGCUCUUCUUUUGGUGGGAUCCAGAAGGUGUGGUGUAUUAUGAGCUUCUAAAACCAGGAGAAACAGUUAAUACUGAUCACUACUGACAACAAAUAAUCAAUUUGAACCAGCCAUGAUGGUAAAACUACCAGAAUGAUUCAGAAGGCAAGGCAGAGUAAUUUUGCUUUAUGAUAACGCACCACCACACACUUCAAAACCAGUUAAAGACACGUUAAAAGAUCUUGUCUGGGAAGUAUUAACCCACCCGCUGUAUUCAACAGACCUCGUUCCUUCAGAUUACCAAUUGAUGGCACAUGCAC